GAUGAACGCUGGCGGCGUGCCUAAUACAUGCAAGUCGAGCGAACAGACGAGGAGCUUGCUCCUCUGACGUUAGCGGCGGACGGGUGAGUAACACGUGGAUAACCUACCGAUAAGACGGGGAUAACUUCGGGAAACCGGAGCUAAUACCGGAUAAUAUAUUGAACCGCAUGGUUCAAUAGUGAAAGACGGUUUUGCUGCCACUUAUAGAUGGAGCCGCGUCGCAUUAGCUAGUUGGUAAGGUAACGGCUUACCAAGGCAACGAUGCGUAGCCGACCUGAGAGGGUGACCGGCCACACUGGAACUGAGACACGGUCCAGACUCCUACGGGAGGCAGCAGUAGGGAAUCUUCCGCAAUGGGCGAAAGCCUGACGGAGCAACGCCGCGUGAGUGAUGAAGGUCUUCGGAUCGUAAAACUCUGUUAUUAGGGAAGAACAAAUGUGUAAGUAACUAUGCACGUCUUGACGGUACCUAAUCAGAAAGCCACGGCUAACUACGUG
rnacentral:rRNA from 1 species